rnacentral:rRNA from 1 species
UACGAAGGGGGCUAGCGUUGUUCGGAUUUACUGGGCGUAAAGCGCACGUAGGCGGAUCGUUAAGUUAGGGGUGAAAUCCUGGAGCUCAACUCCAGAACUGCCUCUAAUACUGGCGAUCGUAGAGUCCGGAAGAGGUGAGUGGAAUUCCUGGUGUAGCGGUGGAAUGCGCAGAUAUCAGGAGGAACACCAAUAGGCGAAGGCAGCUCGCUGGGACGUUACUGACACUGGAGGCGACGAAAGCGUGGGGAGCGAACAGG